rnacentral:rRNA from 1 species
CACGCCGUAAACGAUGGGUACUAGGUGUGGGUAGUUCACACUAUCCGUGCCGCAGCAAACGCAAUAAGUACCCCGCCUGGGGAGUACGGCCGCAAGGUUGAAACUCAAAGGAAUUGACGGGGGCCCGCACAAGCAGCGGAGCAUGUGGUUUAAUUCGAAGCAACGCGAAGAACCUUACCAGGGCUUGACAUCCACAGGAGGCUGUAGAGAUACGGCUGUGCCCUUUAAGGGAACUGUGAGACAGGUGG